CUCGAGUCAGUCGCGGGCGAUCCGCCACGCCGCAAACAACGCCGAUUACAGCGGAUACCGCCAUUGUUUUAUAAAUAAAAUAUAAUAUAAUAUAUAUAGAUCAAAUAUAAUAUAUGUAUAUGCAUAUAUAGGUAUAUCGGUAUUGCGUUAUCAUUCGAAAUUUCAGAGUCAUUUUUUUCCUUUGAUUUUUGUUCAAUUUAUUUCCGCACGCUAAUCAGUUGGACUGUUUUGAAAUAUUAUAGGCAGAUACGGAGAGAGGAAGAGAGAUGCACCGCGCCUAAACGCCUUAGAAAAAGACAGAUCAUACAUUUAAUUUGUGAUGUUGAUGCUGAUGAAGAAGACCGGAAAUGAAAAGUCGUCUUUUAUUCUACUCAUUGAAUUUAUUUGCCUGACCGAUUCUUCUCGUGUACACGCGUGUACAAGCUCGGAUUGAUGAGUCAUCUGUGUAUUUUUUUGUUCAUUUUUUGAAUCGGUUUCCUUCUUUUCUUUCUGUUCUUUAUUUUAAUUUUGUGCUAAACAUUUUCCACUUACGAAACUCCGCUGAUAAUAGAUAAACAUGUGAUGUAACAAAUAGGGUUUAAUCGAUCAAAAGAAAGAUAAAAAUGAAAUAGGUAAAUCAAUGCUAUUGAUCGGGGUUUAAAAAAAAUAUAUUCUUCCUUAUCUUGUGGUAUACGUAUGACAGUUUGAAAAAAAAAAAAAAGAAGUCAUCGUUGUUGUUACUACUUCCCUUAAUUUAUUAUUUAUUCUUGUCGUUCUAUACGAUAUUUGUGUGAAUGUGCACCGAAUUAAUUCAGGAUACCUCAAGAAAUGUGAAAUUUGGUGUGUGGUGUGCAUGUAGUUUUUAUUUAUUAAUAUUCCUCCGCGUCAUACUUGGAGAAGAAAAAGUGGAAACAUCUUGUAUCGGAUUAGCGGUUAUGAGGACGAGAUAAAGUGAUCGGAUGACAGCCAGCUUAAAGAGUAUAAACAUAAAUCGAUCAAGCGACUGACGUUAUUCGCUGCAUAGUGGUGGACCGAUGCCUUCAACUUCAUCUUCGAGAGCUUACGUGAAUAAUCGCCAUCACUAGACAACUCAUAAAUAGCGCGAAGGGGUAACAGCAGAGUAAAGAUCAACGGGUGAAAAGUCAACACAGAGAAGAUUUCCUCUAAUACAAAGACGUUUCGACCGAGAUAUUUGAGAAAAUAACAAGUGUAAGAGAAAGCAAAUCCGCUUUCACGGGGGGUUGAACCAAAGAGGAAUAAAAAAUCGAAACGAAUAAGUAAAUAAACAAGUAAACAAAUAAAUAAACAAAUAGCAAAGGAAACAAAAUCAAAGGGAAAUCCUCUUCGUUUAUGAAAAAUGAAGGCUACAGUGACGUCAUCGCGCAGCGUCGGUACUUCGAUAACCUGAAGAAGAAGAAGAAAAAAUUUAAAAUCAAACGAAAGUCGUCCGGUUUAGGGGAAUCUCUGAACAGUCAUGCCUUUCACGGUGGAUCCUUUGGACCCCGUAACGUCGGAAAUGACGUCUAGGACGAGUGCGGCAGGUUUUUCCACCGGAGAUCCUUUCGUUAAUGGAACUUAUUCCGACGAAGAAGAAGAAUGGCCGGAAACGUCGGUUGCAAUAUUGAAAGCGUGCGUUUUGGGAUCUAUAAUAAUAACAGCUGUUUUUGGAAAUCUCCUCGUAAUGGUAUCGGUAAUGAGACAUCGUAAAUUGAGGAUAAUAACGAAUUACUUCGUCGUAUCUUUGGCACUGGCCGAUAUGCUCGUGGCCAUGUUCGCGAUGACUUUCAACGCCAGUGUACAAGUAACCGGAAGAUGGUUGUUCGGAUAUUUUAUGUGCGACGUAUGGAAUUCGCUCGAUGUUUAUUUCAGCACCAGUUCAAUACUGCAUUUAAUGUGCAUAUCGGUAGAUCGAUAUUACGCAAUCGUUAGACCGCUCAAGUAUCCCAUAAACAUGACCAAAACUGUCGUCGCUUACAUGUUAUUGGCUUGUUGGUUUUCCCCCGCCAUAAUAUCGUUCAUACCUAUCUUCAACGAAUGGUAUACCACGAUAGAGAACAGCAAAUACAGACACGAACACCCCGAACAUUGCGAAUUCAAAGUGAACAAAGGUUACGCGAUACUUUCCUCCUGCAUUUCAUUCUGGAUACCGUGCACGAUAAUGACGCUCACCUAUUACGCGAUAUUCCGAGAGGCUAACAAACAGGAAAAACAAAUGCACAGCAGGAUGGGAAACGCAAUGUUACUCAGCCACAGACCGAGCAAGGACAUCAACAACAUGAACAAUUUAAACGGAGAAUUAAACAGCGGUGGUGGUUCGUCGAAGACUUUAACGUUGAACGAAAUAAAUACCGACCAUCUUCACACGCCAACUAAAGAUAAAAAUAUGAUUAAGAUGAAGAGAGAACACAAGGCUGCGAGGACCUUAGGAAUCAUUAUGGGUACUUUCAUAAUAUGCUGGCUACCAUUUUUUCUAUGGUACGUCACGACGACUCUUUGCGGUGACGAAUGCCCCUGUCCAAGUUUCGUCGUUGCGUUACUGUUCUGGAUCGGUUACACCAACUCGGCACUCAAUCCAGUCAUAUACGCGUAUUUCAACCGAGACUUUCGGGAAGCUUUCAAGAAUACCUUGCAAUGCGCUUUCUGCUCGCUGUGCAGGAGGGAGCCCUCGGAUCUCGAAGCUUUGGACUUUAGGAGACCUUCGCUCAGCAUAUAACACGGAAAGUAUCAAAAAACUGAACAGAAAAAAAAUACUAAAAAAACACGAGUUCGUCAAAAUGUACGACGACAGGACGAAGAGCAUCUAUUCGGAAACUUAUAUGAAAGUCGACCGGAGAAGAUCGAGUGA
rnacentral:misc_RNA from 1 species